CAGAGGAGACUGACUAAAGUUUGGUUGACGACGGAGUCCUUGUCACAGCAAAGAAUCAUCCUGCCCUUGUCUAUUCUUGGGUAAAACCCACCCCAGCCUUCCUCAUGGCUCCUGUAAGACUGGCAAAUGCUGAACUUGCUUAUCUGCCUCCAUGAAGCCCUACAUUCCUUUCAUUGUCUGAGAUCUUCCUCAUUAAUAAGUAUUCUCCUUAUCCCAACAACCUGAGUAAAGUCAUCUCCUUGGUUGACUGGUGCAAUUUGUCUUUCACAGUUUUGGUGCUGUGUUUCAGGCAGGAGCAGAAUCCUCACCUUUGGAACCCUGUUCACUCCACCCAGAACAAGAAACAGAUCGAGGAAGAGGCAGAGUAACAACAGCCGGGAAGAAGAUACAGUUUUAGUCUCUCCCCAACUCUACCACAGCUUGGAAUGUGCUGAGUCACAUCUGAAGCCAUGAAGUCUCAGAGUCUCACCUACCUCCCAUGGUAGAAGUUUCAGAGCUGUGCACAAUUCACCACAGUCUUUUCUUUGGUCCCAGUGAUCAUGGAAGGAUGCGUGGAGACGAAGCCUCUGUCAGUGUGGGUUGCUGUUGGACUCCAUGAUCAGAGACUCUCUGCCCACGUCAUUUUGUAGUGAGACUGUGCCCUAUACAUGAACCUAUUUGCCAGACCCAUCAAGUGAAUUCCGUGAUUCUUAUGAAAAAGCUAAGUUUAUUUCAAAGUUUUAGUAGAACACAUUGAAAAUAGUCAUCACUUAUUGUGCUCAGAGCCACUUCAUUGAUUUUAUUUCUUAAGCUAGAUAGCUAUCAACUACAAAGUCAGCCUUCUGGGAAGAAACCUGUAUGUCAUGAAAUCAGCAUGAAUUUUAGGUUAAGACAAAUCUGCAUUUCAAUCUUUGCUUGGCCAUUUAGAGUUUUGCAAUUAUGGGUGGUUCCAUGGCCUAACUGAGCUUCAGUUUCCUUAUUUGUGAAAUUGGGUUAAUACAACUAUUACAGAUUAGCACAAAUGAAGUAUAUGUAGCAAGCAUUCAAAACACAUUACAAUUCCUUGCUUAUUCUUUAGCCUUUUUGGUUUCUUCAUGUUUAGCCCAUGUAAAGUGAAGUAAAUCAAAUAAACCAUCGCUGAUUUUGGGUGAAGAAAUGAAACCCCAGAGCCCAGAAUUAGUACAGAUCUGGUGGUAUAACUCUAUGCUGAGCUAUACCAUCUACAUCCCUUAAUUACACUUCUAGGUUCUGACCACUAAAGUGCUGGGAUUAUGUUAAAUUCAGUUGGUGAGGAUGAAACAUAGAGCUAUGAGCUCAUCAGUAAUCUCCCCAGUCAAGCCUUCCACAUCAUUGUUUUUGCCUUUUUAGGCUCAAGAGGUUAAUGACAUUUUUUUAAAAAAUGAUUUUUCAAGUGCUUGAAGAUUACAGUUAAACUGGAUAUAUAAUCUGCUCCACUUUUGACCCUAAAAAACUGUAAAAUGCAGAAAUGUAACAUAGCGAUCUUAUCCUAACUCAGAUAAAUUUGCUAAAACACACACAUAUACUUUUGUUAUUUACAUUGGGAAAAACAAUUCUAAAUUCAAUCCUGGAUAAGUAUUUUUAAACGCAAACUUUAUGACCCAAUUCUGUUUCUACUGAACAGUGAGCUCAGGAGCAAGUGUUCAGGGAUAUGAUAAAAUCUGUAUGAUUUGAAGGAGAAAAUACGCCCGUAGUGAAAGAUAUGGGAAGAAGUUCUCACAAAUGGGAGAGAAAUUGAUUCUUUUCUUAUCAAAUUUUGUAGGAUGAGAUGCAGAUCUGAUUUCUAGGUAUUGCAGAUCAUGAGACUGAAAAAUUCAUAGGAUGCUUUAUUUUCUCCUCUUUCUUUCGCUACCUGGCAAACUGUUGGCCUGGGGUCUGGGAAGCCAUCUCUGUGUUGAGCCCCCAACCUGCUCUCCAUGAAGUUCCAAGAAGGUAACCUGACCGCGUUGGUCUUACCCCUCUGAUUAUACAGUGCCAUUAGACCUGUGAGAGGGGCUGUGACAGUGGAACCCGAAUGAAGACAGGAAAAGUCUGUAGAGGACUGAUGGUUAUGUUCACCAUUCAAAUUGCAAGAAAACCAAUAAGAAGUCAGUAAAGUGCAUUCAAAGAGAAAGGUGGGACUCGUGAAGUUUUCUUCUUCAUGCACAGACAGGCACCAAUUUGAAGCUUAAUGACAGCAGAAACAGAGAACAACUACUCCACAUUGGCAGCACGUUGGAUGGUGCCCAUGCACAUGGAGGGUGAGUCUUCCUCUCCCAGUCUACUGACUCAAAUGUCAGUCUCCUCUGGCAACACCCUCGCAGACAAAGCCAGAAACAAUACUUCACCAGCUACCUAGGCAUCCCUCAAUCCAGUCAAGUUGACACCCAGUAUUAACCAUCACAGCCCUUAACAACAGAGUUAGCUUGUCUUUGAAACUUUGAAGCCCAGCGUUGAUGUCUCCUCUCUAGCUAUGAAAGUCCUAGAUUGGAUCUUCUUCAAUAAAUGGAUAUUUUGUUUACACUGAAAGUCUGUUUUUGUAGUCUCCUUGAUCAAUUUUCUUAGCUAGAUCUUCUUAAUCACUUGCUGAAGCUUCUCCAACAGAACUUUCUGCUUCUCCUUGCAUUUUUAUGUUAUGGAGAUGGCUUCUUUCAUUAAACCUCAUGAACCAAUCUCUGCCAGUUUCCAACUUUUCUUUUCCAGCUUCCUAUCCUCUCAGCCUUCAUCAUAUUGCAGAGUUACAGCCUUGCUCUGGAUGAGGCUUUGGCUUAAGGGAAUCUUGUGGCUGACUUCAUCUUCUACUCAGACAACUAAUCCUUUCUCUAUCUCAGCAGUGAGGCUGUUUUGCUUUAUCAUUCCUGUGUUCACUGGAGUAGCACUUUUAAUUUCCUUCAAGAAUUUUUCCUUUG
rnacentral:lncRNA from 1 species